GACGAACGCUGGCGGCGUGCCUAAUACAUGCAAGUCGAGCGCAGGAAACCGUCUGAACCCUUCGGGGGGAUGACGGCGGAAUGAGCGGCGGACGGGUGAGUAACACGUAAAGAACCUGCCCACGGGUCUGGGAUAACCACGAGAAAUCGGGGCUAAUACCGGACGGGUCAUCGGACCGCAUGGUCCGAGGAUGAAAGGCGCUCCGGCGUCGCCCGUGGAUGGCUUUGCGGUGCAUUAGCUAGUUGGUGGGGUAACGGCCCACCAAGGCGACGAUGCAUAGCCGACCUGGGAGGGUGAUCGGCCACACUGGGGCUGGGACACGGCCCAGACUCCUACGGGAGGCAGCAGUAGGGAAUCUUCCACAAUGGACGAAAGUCUGAUGGAGCAACGCCGCGUGAACGAUGAAGGCCCUCGGGUCGUAAAGUUCUGUUGUAAGGGAAGAACAAGUGCCGCAGGCAAUGGCGGCACCUUGACGGUACCUUGCGAGAAAGCCACGGCUAACUACGUGCCAGCAGCCGCCGCAGUAA
rnacentral:rRNA from 1 species